UAGGGAAUCUUCGGCAAUGGACGAAAGUCUGACCGAGCAACGCCGCGUGAGUGAAGAAGGUUUUCGGAUCGUAAAACUCUGUUGUUAGAGAAGAACAAGGACGUUAGUAACUGAACGUCCCCUGACGGUAUCUAACCAGAAAGCCACGGCUAACUACGUGCCAGCAGCCGCGGUAAUACGUAGGUGGCAAGCGUUGUCCGGAUUUAUUGGGCGUAAAGCGAGCGCAGGCGGUUUCUUAAGUCUGAUGUGAAAGCCCCCGGCUCAACCGGGGAGGGUCAUUGGAAACUGGGAGAAUUGAGUGCAGAAGAGGAGAGAGGAAUUCCAUGUGUAGCGGUGAAAUGAGUAGAUAUAUGGAGGAACACCAGUGGCGAAGGCGGAUCUCUGGUCUGUAACUGACGAUGAGGCUCGAAAGCGUGGGGAGCAAACAGG
rnacentral:rRNA from 1 species